rnacentral:rRNA from 1 species
UACGUAGGUCCCGAGCGUUGUCCGGAAUUACUGGGCGUAAAGGGUGCGCAGGCGGCCAUGUGCGUCAGAUGUGAAAUAUCACGGCUUAACCGUGAGGGUGCUUUUGAAACGGCGUGGCUUGAGUACGGGAGAGGAUGAUGGAAUUCCUGGUGUAGCAGUGAAAUGCGUAGAUAUCAGGAGGAACACCGGUGGCGAAGGCGGUCAUCUGGCCCGGUACUGACGCUCAGGCACGAAAGUGUGGGUAGCAAACAGG